GAUCAAGAGACGGUGGCUAGACAACUCCAUUUUCCUCGUUGUGAUGGGUACCGAGGGCAGCUUGCAGGAUGCUGCUGAGGUGGUGCGGUUUCGCAAGAUUUUAUGAAUGGAAGACAGGAUCAAUUGAGUUUAUAUUUCUACUAUAAAAGACAGCUCAGAAAGUACUGUAUAAGGAUGCUGAGAAAUUAAUUCCUAAAGGGGUAUGUUGACAUUCAGACCAUCUUCCAAGGAAAUUCUAACAGAACAGAGUUUCUUAUAGAAUGCUGGAACAACCAGAGAAAGAUGCGAUCCUAGCAAUGAGAUACUUCCCUACCACUACUGUUGGGUAUGUCUUUCCAGAGAAGACCAGAAGCCUCUUAUACAUGGUGAAUCCCACAGCGCAAAGGCUGUCCUCCUCCAGAACCUGUAUCAGUGUUAUAAAGUGCAAAAUGUUGCACUCAGAGGGGUUGCAGAAGUUGAAUGAGGCAGAAUAUUGCAGAAAGAGAAAGAAAGAUCUCAAGAUCAACACUCCCAGAAGUCCAGAGGGAGGAGUGAAUGGACCAUUUUAUUCUAGGAGAUCUAUGUAA
rnacentral:lncRNA from 1 species